CUUGCUGAUGUUCUUGAUCUUGACAGCACUCCGGACUUGCUUCCCAGGCUCAUCUGUAGCAAUCAGUAUCAAUUCCGGCAAAAUCAGACACAAGCAAAGAGUUUUUGAAAGAGAAAAAAAAACAAGAAGCCAAUUUUCUUAGCGGAAACAGAA